rnacentral:tRNA from 1 species
GCCCUCCUAGCUCAAUGGCAGAGCAGCGGUUUUGUAAACCGUCGACCGGAGUCCGAUUCUCCGGGAGGGCU